GAACGCUGGCGGCAGGCCUAACACAUGCAAGUCGAGCGCCCCGCAAGGGGAGCGGCGGACGGGUGAGUAACGCGUGGGAAUUUUCCUCAAGGUACGGAACAACUCAGGGAAACUUGGGCUAAUACCGUAUGAUGCAGAGAUGCCAAAGAUUUAUCGCCUUGGGAUAAGCCCGCGUCAGAUUAGGUAGUUGGUGGGGUAAUGGCCUACCAAGCCUGUGAUCUGUAGCUGGUCUGAGAGGACGAUCAGCCACAUUGGGACUGAGACACGGCCCAAACUCCUACGGGAGGCAGCAGUGGGGAAUCUUGCGCAAUGGACGAAAGUCUGACGCAGCCAUGCCGCGUGAAUGAUGAAGGUCUUAGGAUUGUAAAGUUCUUUAGCCUGUGACGAUGAUGACGGUAACAGGAGAAUAAGCCCCGGCUAACUUCGUG
rnacentral:rRNA from 1 species